GCGCGCUUACGGGAGGCAGCAGUGGGGAAUAUUGCACAAUGGGGGAAACCCUGAUGCAGCGACGCCGCGUGGGUGAAGAAGUACUUCGGUACGUAAAGCCCUAUCAGCAGGGAAGAAAAUGACGGUACCUGAUUAAGAAGCCCCGGCUAACUACGUGCCAGCAGCCGCGGUAAUACGUAGGGGGCAAGCGUUAUCCGGAUUUACUGGGUGUAAAGGGAGCGUAGACGGCAUUGCAAGUCCGGAGUGAAAGCACACGGCCCAACCG
rnacentral:rRNA from 1 species